GCAUUAAUGGGGUAGUGGUAACCUGGGUCGUUGCCAUAAAUGAUUUCUGAACAUGUAUCUUUUCGACCCGCCGGGGGUUCGAUUCCCUCUUAAUGCA
rfam:Gymnopus luxurians FD-317 M1 unplaced genomic scaffold GYMLTscaffold_116, whole genome shotgun sequence.